rnacentral:lncRNA from 1 species
AGGGCCCCUGCCUCCUGUUGCCCUGGCGACCAGCUGUGUUAUGGACUGAGCCGGGAUCCCACCACAUCCCUGCCCCCUCACCAGGGCACCAGCCACUCCCCACAUCCGGAGAAGGACAUUACACGGUGGCCCCAGCUCACCGUGACAAACUCAAUUGCCUGGUGUCUGGAGCACCAGGAAAGACUUUGUCUACCUACAUAAUGGUUCAGAAGGGCAGAGAGGUCCCAGGGAUCUGUGGGGACUCCCAGCCAGGUGCCUGAAAUCCCCGGGGAAGGGUCCCAGUAUUGCUCAAGGGCACUGGUGGGGCAGGUCAGACAGGAAUAGACCCCAGGCCUGGCCCAGCCCCCACCUCAGGAAUGACUCACCACCCACCCAGCUCCCGAUGACAUCAAGGCCUGGCCUGCCACCCUGACCUGGCCCCAGGCCAGAACUGGGGGGGCGCACCCAAGAAGUGUCACAUCUGGCUGUCCCUGCCUGGCUGGGAUCUGGUACGCAGAGGGUUAAGGAGAGCCCUUCUGGGGGUCUCCCCCCCAUCCCAUCCCCCCCACUUUCCCGGGGAUUUCGGGCCCCAGCCCCUCUGACGUCACUGGGGGUUGCUAUGGCAACUGGCCGAAGUUCCCAAAUAAAAUUACCGCGGGCGGGUUAAGUUUCCUAGGAGGCAGCCGACGGGUAAACAAUGGCGGUGGCAGGCGGGGCCGGCGAGAGGCCGUCUCCCCCUCUUACCCCCGACUCUGCUGGGACCUGGGGGUCCCUGGGGCGAGGGGCAGGGUCCCCCUCCCUGCCCAGGAUCUGAGAGCCCUCGAGCCAGCGAGGGGAUUGGCGCCCAGAUGAGGGACAGCGAGGCCACGACCCACAUGAGCGGGGGAUGGGGACGAGGGGUCUUUGGAGGGGAGGCUGGGGCGGCGGGGAACAAAGAGGGGACCGGAGGCCUGGGGAUCCACCCUCCACACACCCUCCCCCCUAACCCCGCUCCCGGCCGGCCGCCAGUCCAGCUGUGGCUGUUCCCAGCUCCCUGGCUCCCCACAUCUGGCGGGCCGCGCGCUCACUUCCUGUCGCCCCGGCUGCCUGGAGGGAGGUAAAAAUAACCC